rnacentral:tRNA from 1 species
GGGCCAGUGGUGCAAAGGACAAUGCGUCUGACUAUGGGUCAGAAGAUUCUAGGUUCAACUCCUAGCUGCCUUG